AACGAACGCUGGCGGCGUGGAUAAGACAUGCAAGUCGAACGGGACAACAUCUGUAGCAAUACAGGUGUUGUUUAGUGGCGAACGGGUGCGUAACACGUGGGCAAUCUGCCGAGAAGUGGGGGAUAGCUCGCCGAAAGGCGAAUUAAUACCGCAUAUGAUCAGUGAAGACAUCUUCACGACAUCAAAGCCGGGGCAACCUGGCGCUUCUUGAUGGGCCCGCGGCCUAUCAGCUAGUUGGUGAGGUAACGGCUCACCAAGGCUAUGACGGGUAGCUGGUCUGAGAGGACGACCAGUCACACUGGAACUGAGACACGGUCCAGACACCUACGGGUGCAGCAGUCGAGUAAUUUUUCUCAAUGGGGCAACCCUGAAGGAGCGACGCCGCGU
rnacentral:rRNA from 1 species